rnacentral:rRNA from 1 species
UACGUAGGGUGCAAGCGUUGUCCGGAAUUACUGGGCGUAAAGCGCACGUAGGCGGCUUUGUAAGUUAGAGGUGAAAGCCCGGAGCUCAACUCCGGAAUUGCCUUUAAGACUGCAUCGCUAGAACGUCGGAGAGGUGAGUGGAAUUCCGAGUGUAGAGGUGAAAUUCGUAGAUAUUCGGAAGAACACCAGUGGCGAAGGCGACUCACUGGACGACUGUUGACGCUGAGGUGCGAAAGCGUGGGGAGCAAACAGG